rnacentral:rRNA from 1 species
GUCUACAGCCAUGCCACCCUGAAGUCCGAUCCCGUCUGAUCUCGGAAGCUAAGCAGGGUCGGGCCUGGUUAGUACUUGGAUGGGAGACCACCUAGGAAGACCAGGUGCUGUAGGCU